rnacentral:rRNA from 1 species
UGCCAGCCGCCGCGGUAAUACGAAGGGUGCUAGCGUUGUCCGGAAUUAUUGGGCGUAAAGGGUGCGUAGGCGGACUAGUAAGUCUGGUGUGAAAGUUUGCGGCUUAACCGUAAAAGGCCACUGGAUACUGUUAGUCUUGAAUCACAGAGGGGGUAGUGGAAUUCCAGGUGUAGCGGUGAAAUGCGUAGAGAUCUGGAGGAACAUCAGUGGCGAAGGCGGCUCCCUGGCCAAAGACUGACGCUCAUGUGCGAAAGUGUGGGUAGCGAACAGGAUUAGAUA